AUUGAACGCUGGCGGCAGGCCUAACACAUGCAAGUCGAGCGGAUGAAGGGAGCUUGCUCCUGGAUUCAGCGGCGGACGGGUGAGUAAUGCCUAGGAAUCUGCCUGGUAGUGGGGGAUAACGUCCGGAAACGGGCGCUAAUACCGCAUACGUCCUGAGGGAGAAAGUGGGGGAUCUUCGGACCUCACGCUAUCAGAUGAGCCUAGGUCGGAUUAGCUAGUUGGUGGGGUAAAGGCCUACCAAGGCGACGAUCCGUAACUGGUCUGAGAGGAUGAUCAGUCACACGGGAACUGAGACACGGACCAGACUACUACGGGAGGCAGCAGUGGGGAAUAUUGGACAAUGGGCGAAAGCCUGAUCCAGCCAUGCCGCGUGUGUGAAGAAGGUCUUCGGAUUGUAAAGCACUUUAAGUUGGGAGGAAGGGCAGUAAGUUAAUACCUUGCUGUUUUGACGUUACCAACAGAAUAAGCACCGGCUAACUUCGUG
rnacentral:rRNA from 1 species